AUUGAACGCUGGCGGCAUGCCUUACACAUGCAAGUCGAACGGCAGCACGGGGGCAACCCUGGUGGCGAGUGGCGAACGGGUGAGUAACACAUCGGAACGUGCCUGGUAGUGGGGGAUAGCUCGGCGAAAGCCGGAUUAAUACCGCAUACGACCUACGGGUGAAAGCGGGGGAUCGCAAGACCUCGCGCUAUCGGAGCGGCCGAUGUCAGAUUAGGUUGUUGGUGGGGUAAAGGCCACCAAGCCGACGAUCUGUAGCUGGUCUGAGAGGACGACCAGCCACACUGGGACUGAGACACGGCCCAGACUCCUACGGGAGGCAGCAGUGGGGAAUUUUGGACAAUGGGCGCAAGCCUGAUCCAGCCAUGCCGCGUGCGGGAAGAAGGCCUGGUGUAACG
rnacentral:rRNA from 1 species